CGACGCCGGACUAGGCUUGCCGAGGACCAGCCACACCACCAGCCAGAGGGAGAGACCGCCUGGAGGAGAGCAGGGAGAGAAGGAAGUGAGCGGGAGCUGUCCGUGGUGCUGAUAUCCGAAUGACUAGAAGACCUUCUGGGGGAGGACACCAACGCCUGUUCACACAACAGCAGGAACUUGCCGUUGUGGACCUAGUGAAGGCAGACAAUGCCAUCCGCCUCCACCAGCUACGACAGAAAAUACUUGCAGACAGGCAAGUGUUCAACAACAUAAACCAUGUGAGCAUCACCACCAUCAGAUGCAUCUUGGGAAAACACAUCACCAUGAAGCAGCUCUACAGGGUCCCAUUUGAGAGGAACAGUGUCCGGGUCAAAGGACUUUGAGCUGAAGAUGUACGGAGAAUCUUGGCCAUGGAUGGAGCUGCACAGCCCCAUGAAUUCAUUUUCAUCGAUGAAGCUGGAUUCGACCUGAGCAAAACAAGACGAUUGUGCACGUCCCGGGGCAGCGCGAGGGUAAUAUCACGUUGUGUGCCGCCAUAAGCCUUCGAGGGCUUCUGCAUCAUCAUGCAAAACUAGGUCCAUACAAUAGCCAACAUAUACUCACAUUUCUAGAUGCUCUCCAUAAUAUAGUUGUACAGAACAGACCAGAUCAGCCCAGGAUUGUGGUGGUAUGGGAUAACGUCAGUUUCCAUCCGUCUGCUCUGGUCCAGGCUUGGUUCACCAACCACAAUCAAUUUGAAGUGGUAAACUUGCCCCCUUACUCACCAUUUUUAAACCCUAUAGAGGGAUUAUUUUCGGCUUGGAGAUGGCGUGUAUAUGACCGCCAACCACAAGCCCACAUGCCUCUUCUGCAGGCAAUGGAACAGGCCUGCGGCGACAUUCAGGUGACAGCAAUCCAUGGAUGGUUUCGACAUGCAAGGGGAUAUUUUCCCCGGUGUCUAGCGGGAGAAGACAUUGCUUGCGAUGUCGAUGAGGUCCUGUGGCCAGACCCCAACAGACGGCGGGAUCCAUGAGCCCACGUAUGCACAAUUGCCAUGAUUUUCUGUGUUUACAGUAUAGUGUUUUUUUCUAUUUAUAUUUUUUUUUUGUUGCUUUAUCUGAAUUCAUGUUACUGCAAUGUACAGUGCUGCAAUGUACAAUAUUGAGUAGGCCUAUUUGCUUUUUUGGUUGUUUGGAAAUGUGCUUCCUGAAAAUAUGCCUUCUGAAUAAACACUGAAAAUCAAAGAUUGCAGUGUUUUAUAUAAAGUAGACUAGUGUGUUCCCCCUGAUCUGAAAGUGUAUGCAUAUGAUGCAAGUAUGUGUCAUUUUGUCAUCAGAGUUACAUUUUGACAAAGGAAUGUUAGUUUGA